rnacentral:rRNA from 1 species
CAGCAGCCGCGGUAAAACGAAGGGGGCUAGCGUUGCUCGGAAUGACUGGGCGUAAAGGGCGCGUAGGCGGCUUGUACAGUCAGAUGUGAAAUUCCUGGGCUCAACCUGGGGACUGCAUUUGAUACGUACGGGCUUGAGUGGAGAAGAGGGUUGUGGAAUUUCCAGUGUAGAGGUGAAAUUCGUAGAUAUUCGGAAGAACACCAGUGGCGAAGGCGACUCACUGGACGACUGUUGACGCUGAGGCACGAAAGCGUGGGGAGCAAACAGGAUUAGAUACCCCAGUAGUCCCUGUCUCUUAUAC